rnacentral:rRNA from 1 species
AGAGUUUGAUCCUGGCUCAGGACGAACGCUGGCGGCGUGCUUAACACAUGCAAGUCGAACGGUAAGGCCCUUCGGGGUACACGAGUGGCGAACGGGUGAGUAACACGUGGGUAAUCUGCCCUGCACAUCGGGAUAAGCCUGGGAAACUGGGUCUAAUACCGAAUAGGACCACAGGACACAUGUCCUGUGGUGGAAAGCUUUUGCGGUGUGGGAUGGGCCCGCGGCCUAUCAGCUUGUUGGUGGGGUGAUGGCCUACCAAGGCGACGACGGGUAGCCGGCCUGAGAGGGUGUCCGGCCACACUGGGACUGAGAUACGGCCCAGACUCCUACGGGAGGCAGCAGUGGGGAAUAUUGCACAAUGGGCGAAAGCCUGAUGCAGCGACGCCGCGUGGGGGAUGACGGCCUUCGGGUUGUAAACCUCUUUCACCAUCGACGAAGGUCCGGGUUUUCUCGGGCUGACGGUAGGUGGAGAAGAAGCACCGGCCAACUACGUGCCAGCAGCCGCGGCAAUACGUAGGGUGCGAGCGUUGUCCGGAAUUACUGGGCGUAAAGAGCUCGUAGGUGAUUUGUCGCGUUGUUCGUGAAAUCUCACGGCUUAACUGUGAGCGUGCGGGCGAUACGGGCAGACUUGAGUACUGCAGGGGAGACUGGAAUUCCUGGUGUAGCGGUGAAAUGCGUAGA